UCAAUAGGCGGAGGAAAAGAAAAUUAACAAGGAUUCCCNUAGUAACGGCGAGUGAAGCGGGAUGAGCUCAAAUUUGAAAGCUGGCAGCUUCGCUGUCCGCGUUGUAAUCUCGAGAGGUGUUUUCCGCGCCGGACCGCGUACAAGUUCCUUGGAACAGGAUGUCAUAGAGGGUGAGAACCCCGUACUUGACGCGGCGCCCGGUGCUUUGUGAUACACCCUCAACGAGUCGAGUUGUUUGGGAAUGCAGCUCAAAAUGGGUGGUAAAUUCCAUCUAAAGCUAAAUAUCGGGGAGAGACCGAUAGCGAACAAGUACCGUGAGGGAAAGAUGAAAAGCACUUUGGAAAGAGAGUUAAACAGUACGUGAAAUUGUCGAAAGGGAAGCGCUUGAAGUCAGUUAUGCACUCCGGGUUUCAGCCUUGCUUCUGCUUGGUGUAUUACCCGGUUGCAGGUCAGCAUCGGUUUUGCCUGUCGGAUAAUGGUUGGAGGAACGUGGCACCUUCGGGUGUGUUAUAGCCUCCUUCUGGAUACGGCGGGCGGGACCGAGGAUCGCAGCGCGCCUUGUGGCGGACCUUCGGGUACCUUCGCGCUUAGGAUGCUGGCGUAAUGGCUUUAAGCGANCCGUCUUGAAACA
rnacentral:rRNA from 1 species